CCGCCCAACACACAAGCCCAAUCCCCCCUCCCCCCCCCCUUCUAGAUGUCAAUACUUUCCCUCGGUCCUAGGCUGAGUCUAGAGAGAGAAGACACGAGGGAGUGAGCCCGAUAGAUAGGCAAGGCGAGAGCCCCAAGAUUGGGAUUGGAGGGGAACUGAUCAGGGCAAUAGGGCUACGGAGAGGCGAGGCUCGGUCCCCGGAUUCGCAGGAGUUGCGCCGGUGGUCGCGGCGCGAUGGCUGGCGUUGACGCGGCGAGGUAUGCGCAGAGCCCAGCGCACCACGCCGUGGCGAUGCAGGACCACGCUGCCCUUCGCCGCGUGCUAGACGCGCUCCCGCAGGCUCGGAAGCCCGAGGAGAUCCGGACGGAGGCGGACUCCAUCGCCGAGGAGGUGCGAGCGGAGGCUGUCUCGGCCAUCCUCGACCGGCGUGACGUCCCUGGGCGCGAGACCCCGCUCCACCUCGCCGUCCGCUUCGGCGACGCGGCGGCAGCUGAGAUGCUCAUGGCGGCGGGGGCCGACUGGAGCCUGCAGAACGAGCAUGGCUGGAGCGCGCUCCAGGAGGCUAUCUGCGCGCGUGAGGAGGCGCUCGCACGCGUCAUCGUGCGCCACUACCAGCCUCUCGCCUGGGCCAAAUGGUGCCGCCGCCUGCCCCGUGUUGUCGCCGCCAUGCGCCGGAUGCGCGACUUCUACAUGGAAAUCACAUUCCACUUCGAGAGCUCCGUCAUUCCCUUCAUCUCCCGCAUCGCGCCCUCGGAUACCUACAGGGUCUGGAAGCGCGGGGCCAACCUCCGUGCGGACAUGACGCUUGCAGGCUUCGAUGGCUUCAAGAUCCAGCGCUCUGACCAGACUAUUCUGUUUCUUGGGGAGGGCUCGGAGGACGGCAAGGUGCCACCAGGGUCCUUGUGCAUGAUUAACCACAAAGAUAAGGAGGUGAUGAACGCGCUUGAAGGUGCUGGCGCGCCGGCCUCCGAGGCAGAGGUCCAGCAGGAGGUCACCGCAAUGUCACAGACGAAUAUCUUCCGUCCGGGGAUAGAUGUCACUCAAGCAGUGCUGCUUCCACAGGUCACAUGGCGGCGGCAGGAGAGGACAGAGGCUGUUGGCUUGUGGAAGGCUAAGGUGUAUGACAUGCACCAUGUUAUGGUGAGUGUUAAGUCAAGGAGGGUUCCUGGUGCUAUGACGGAUGAGGAAUUCUUUUCAGCUUGCAAUGAGAAUGAUACUGAGAGUGAGGGGUUCGAUGAUGUACUGACUGACGAGGAGAAGAGGCAGCUGGAAUCUGCGCUUAAGAUGGAUUCUUCAGAUGCUGUUGGUGACAGCCAGUCCGACACCUUUGUAGGUCCUAGGCAUAGUUGCUUUGAGCCAAGGGAGAGGGAAAUACCAAUUGAGGAUUUGAGCAUCUCUGGAAAUGGGGAGAGUAAGCAUGAUAAGAAAGGUUGGUUUAGUAAUUGGGGAAAGAGGGGUCAAACUGGCAUUAGUAAACUAGAGAUGACAAAGAAGAUGGCACCUCCAAGAAGUUCGCUCUGUGUAGAUGAGAAGGUUAGCGACCUCCGCCUUGCAUCUCCAUCAAAUGUACAAACUAAACCAGGAAGACAUUCAGUGGAUAUAGUGAGAAGGGAUGAGAACAGAAAUGGCAAGGAAAAGGACUGUCGUAAACUUGCAACUUCUGAGAAUGGACAUAGGCGCAAAGAAAGUAGCAAAGAAAGUGAGUAUAAGAAAGGUCUAAGGCCUGUUCUUUGGUUGUCCCCUAAUUUCCCUCUGAGGACUGAGGAGCUCUUGCCACUACUUGAUAUUCUUGCAAACAAGGUGAAGGCAAUCCGUCGUUUGAGGGAUCUACUCACCACAAAACUGCCUCCAGAAACUUUUCCAGUCAAGUUGUACCCACAAUCAGGGUUCUUGUGACAUUCACAAAGUUUGAAGAGCUACAGCCAUUAGAAGAGUUCAGCACACCUCCUUCCAGCCCUGACAAUUGCAAGAGCCCAGGAGCCCAGACGUCUUCAAGCUCCUGGGUUCAGUGGAUCAAGGCUCCUUACCGCCAGAACUUCUCGACAGCACAAGGUCCCAGCAACCGUGUGGAGGACAUCCAAGACCCCUUUGUUAUCCCUGCUGAUUAUGCCUGGACUACGCCAGGAGAGAAGAAAAAGAGGACACAAGAAAACAAGAACAAGUCAAAGAAAGGCAGAACCGCGUCUUAGGUUAUAUUUGGUGGUCUGGGAUAUGUCGCGGGUUUGCCGGGUGUCAUUCGUUAUAGGAGCAGAUACUCAGUGAUAUCCUCUAUCUAACAGGAAUGAUGAGUGGGAAGGUUUGAGGAUUUCGACCUGCUGCAGGCAACAUGUGUCGAAUGUCGAGAAACAACCGCUUGUCUAGUUUCGAUGUAAUAAAAUAAUUGUUGUUAACAUUCUUUCGUUUAACCCAAAUGAUUCCAACCCUGAUUAAUAUUGCUGCAGCAUUGCUAGGUGGCUUGUUGAUAUUUGCAGUGUUCUUAUUGAGCCGUCAGAG
rnacentral:rRNA from 1 species